GAAAUUUUCACCAAGGUACGGUACCAAGUUACGGUCCGUACCUCGUGUUACGGGACCGUAACAGUGACCGUAUCUUGGUCCGUAUAUACGUUUCGGGUCACCUGACUUCGGGAGGCCAUAACCCUAUCAUAACUUGGGAAUUUGGGAAAACUCAAAGAACGAAAGUUGUAGAUAAUUGAAAAACCUAUCCAACCAUAGGUUGUGGGUUCACAGGAGACGUCGGGAUAAGGAGAUAUGGACGUUUUAAGACAGCAAGGUCUCAACCCGUUUUCAAGUUGGGUCAAACCCAUUUUCCCUUGGUAUAAAAGGGAAAUAUAACCCUAGCAGCCCAUUUCUUUCUCCAAAUUCAGAUUUUAGAGAGAGGAAGUGAGAGAGAAGGGAAAUUAGAGAGAGAAAGUAGAAAAUCAACCAAGUUUAAGGCCCCGAAUCCCAAAGCUCGUGAAGGAAAAAGUGUAGUACAAGUCGUUGUCGUCAUUUUAAGCCCAAGAUCGGACUUGGGGGUGUUGAUUUCGUGAUUACUACUCUUGAAAGAUUGAAGUUGAAGGGAUUGAAGAACAUUGUGAUACGCUCAAAAGCGGGAAGUUAAGGUACGGAUUUACAGGACGAUGCUUCUGAUCAUUAGGAUUUGCUCGUAUCAGCUUAUUGGUGAGCCCCAUCUCAUUCGGGGUUUAGUCAACUUUUACUUUAUGAUUAAUUAUGCAUCUAAAGGUAUGCUGGGGGCCUUGUCCCAGUAAGUAUGUUUUCCAGUCAGACUCAUGAUAGAGGUUUCAUAGACUAGACAAGUCAGUUAUGCUAUGUCAGACAUUCAGAGUCGUAUAGCCAUUUUUGGCUCAUUCAUGUUAUUUCCGCACUCAUGUUUAAACAAGUGUUUUUAUUAAGUAUUAUGACUUACUACAUUUUAUAAAGGCUCAUCAUGCAUUCACGUUAUAUUUCCGCUCAUGUAUGCCUCAUGAUAGUUCAGCAGGCCAUGUGGUUCGCUCGGUCACAUGCAGUCAGGCACCGAGUGCCGUGUUACGUCCAGGCCAUGGUUCGGGGC